ACCUGUGCGUAUGUUUGAUUUGAAAUCAUUUUGGUUGUUUUUAUUAACAAGACAGGUU
rnacentral:tRNA from 1 species